UACAUAGCUCCAGACAGGUCGUGGAAAUUUUGGAUAAAAGGAAGAUGUAUUGCUUUGAUACUCAUAACCAAACGAAGGAGGAAGAUGCAGAGGAUAAGAAACUAAACUCUCGCGAUCUCUAUGCAAUAAGUGGUGAUGCUUUGAGUCUUCUAGAACAGAAAUUGAGAGAAUUAACUUCCGGGGUGGAGCCAUAUUACGUUAGUAUUCUCGAAGAUAAAAAAAGAUGAUAGUUCUUCGACAUCUUUGCCUGCCUCACAAGAAUCUGUAUCUAGAUUCACCAGGAAUAUUGCCAGAAUAGAACGUGGAGUGGUGUACCAGAAUGGUGUAUGUAACUAUAGACCUGGUGGUAUAUUUGGCUAUGAUGUUUCUUCAACUGCUAGUCAGAUGUAUGCAGCCAGAACAGCAAGUAGAGGAAGAUUGUAGCCGCAGCAGUGAUGCCCGAAAGUAGUUUGAUCAUGAACACAAGUCUUUUCUCCAUGCUCGAAGCCUCAUUUUCCAAUGAAGGCUAUAACCUAACAAAAAGCUCGGACAGCACUGAUGGAAGCAAGACAUGUACAUUUUACAGUCGAGCUCAAAAAAGUAUAUGGAUUCUGCCUCUUCUUCGAUAACAGAGGAAACACCAUAUGUAGCAGUAGUCAGCAAUUAAAAUCUGACAACUGCAAGCGAUCAGGACUUCAAUUACACGAAAGAAAUAUUACUGGAUUCAGACCUACAUUUUUUGGUCCUUGCUGGUGAGAAACUGAAUCUUCUUCUUUUCAGCAAGUUGGAAACUAAGAGAUGGAAGCAGGAUAAAGAUCGUAGGUUGAGGAGAAAAGUGUUGUUUCAUGGUGUAGUUGAGUGUUUAGAAUUAAAACACAACAGAUACUUCAGGGCUGGCUAGCGAUCGUGGUUGAAAUGUGAAGCGGUCAUUGGGAAGGAGAGUUUGGCCGAGGAGAUAUAUGAUGAGAUCUCACGGUGGGUGAACAUGGGAGAUUGUGACGUAGAUGAACUAGUUUGCAAGGACAUUGAGUGCUCACUUGGGUAAGUGGGUACAUUACGAGACAGAAGCGUUUAGAUCUUGAACAGAGAUUGAGAGGGAGAUUGUAGAUUCAUCCAUUAGUUGAUGAACUGAUGACAGAUUGCCUGUAAAACAAAAAUCCUUGCUCAUAAAACAAAAAGUUUCCUGUUAUCGGUGUUAGUUUUAAGUUAUAACCUUCAUCUGAGUUACAAAGCAUGUACCUUGUUCUGGACUAUACAAAUUUGUUAAUGGAGGUAAGGAAUCACUUGGCUGGAAUUUUAUUUUAUUUUUAUUUGCCUC